rnacentral:tRNA from 1 species
UCUGAUGUAGUGUAGUGGCUAUCACGGUUUGCUUUCACCGAGCAAACCGGGGUUCGAUUCCCCGCAUUGGAG